rnacentral:rRNA from 1 species
GAGUUUGAUCCUGGCUCAGAACGAACGCUGGCGGCGUGGAUAAGACAUGCAAGUCGAGCGAGAGAAUUGCUAGCUUGCUAAUAAUUCUCUAGUGGCGCACGGGUGAGUAACACGUGAGUAACCUGCCCCCGAGAGCGGGAUAGCCCUGGGAAACUGGGAUUAAUACCGCAUAGUAUCGAAAGAUUAAAGCAGCAAUGCGCUUGGGGAUGGGCUCGCGGCCUAUUAGUUAGUUGGUGAGGUAACGGCUCACCAAGGCGAUGACGGGUAGCCGGUCUGAGAGGAUGUCCGGCCACACUGGAACUGAGACACGGUCCAGACACCUACGGGUGGCAGCAGUCGAGAAUCAUUCACAAUGGGGGAAACCCUGAUGGUGCGACGCCGCGUGGGGGAAUGAAGGUCUUCGGAUUGUAAACCCCUGUCAUGUGGGAGCAAAUUAAAAAGAUAGUACCACAAGAGGAAGAGACGGCUAACUCUGUGCCAGCAGCCGCGGUAAUACAGAGGUCUCAAGCGUUGUUCGGAAUCACUGGGCGUAAAGCGUGCGUAGG